AUAAUAAUUAAAUUAAUUAGUUCUUGUUAUUUAUCUUUUUUUAUAAAUUAAAUUUAAAUAAACUAUUUGGUUAUUAUUUUAUUCAUAUUGAUCAUGCAUUUAAAUUUUAAUUUACAAUAACAAAUGAAUACAAACUUACACAAAAUUCAAUAAACAUCACAAUUACAAACUUUAAUUGGAUUUUUAUGUUAAUUUUAAUAAUCCAAUUAAAUUAAACAAAAUCAAGAUGAGAAAAUUAAAGAAAAUGAAGAUGAAGAUGAUGAUCACACAUCAAAGUAGUCAUUGACAAAUUUGCUCUUGAUCCACUUGAAGCUAUUUCUCAAAGAUGAUUUCAGCUUACCUUCCAUGUUGUACAUAUUAUACUGAGCCACUCUCUUUCUCCUCUUCAUCUCAGGAUCGCCUGAGGCCGCCACCUCAUCAAUCUUGCCAGUGGUCGGACCGUUGAAACUAUAAGAUUUAGAUCGCUCUUCAAACCCUAGCCGGAUUUCUGAAUAGGCAUUAGAGUAAGCUGAGAAAGAUUUGCUCUUCUCCAUUAUGAAAGGAGCACAGAGAGAAAAACCAGGCACUAAGUGCUAUUAUAUAGAACAAGGACAUGCAAAAUGUUGAAUUUUUUUGAACGUUAGUGGGAUGUGCAAGUGCA
rnacentral:lncRNA from 1 species